GAACUGAAGAGUUUGAUCAUGGCUCAGAUUGAACGCUGGCGGCAGGCCUAACACAUGCAAGUCGAGCGGAUGAAGGGAGCUUGCUCCUGGAUUCAGCGGCGGACGGGUGAGUAAUGCCUAGGAAUCUGCCUGGUAGUGGGGGAUAACGUCCGGAAACGGGCGCUAAUACCGCAUACGUCCUGAGGGAGAAAGUGGGGGAUCUUCGGACCUCAC
rnacentral:rRNA from 1 species